GUACUCGCUUUGGCAGCACAUAUAUUAAAAUAGGAAUGAUACAGAGAAGAUCAGCACGGCCCCUUCACAAGGGUGACAUGCAAAUUCAUGAAGCAUUCCAUAUUUUA
ensembl:snRNA U6 U6 spliceosomal RNA